CUUUCGAUAGCUCAGUUGGUAGAGCGGAGGACUGUAGAUCCUUAGGUCGCUGGUUCGAAUCCGGCUCGAAGGA
rnacentral:tRNA from 2 species